AUUGAACGCUGGCGGCAUGCCUUACACAUGCAAGUCGAACGGUAACAGGUCUUCGGAUGCUGACGAGUGGCGAACGGGUGAGUAAUACAUCGGAACGUGCCCGAUCGUGGGGGAUAACGGAGCGAAAGCUUUGCUAAUACCGCAUACGAUCUACGGAUGAAAGCAGGGGACCGCAAGGCCUUGCGCGGACGGAGCGGCCGAUGGCAGAUUAGGUAGUUGGUGGGAUAAAAGCUUACCAAGCCGACGAUCUGUAGCUGGUCUGAGAGGACGACCAGCCACACUGGGACUGAGACACGGCCCAGACUCCUACGGGAGGCAGCAGUGGGGAAUUUUGGACAAUGGGCGCAAGCCUGAUUCAGCCAUGCCGCGUGCAGGAUGAAGGCCUUCGGGUUGUAAACUGCUUUUGUACGGAACGAAAAGACUCUUUCUAAUAAAGAGGGUCCAUGACGGUACCGUAAGAAUAAGCACCGGCUAACUACGUGCCAGCCGCCGCUGUAACAC
rnacentral:rRNA from 1 species